rnacentral:rRNA from 1 species
AACGAACGCUGGCGGCAUGCUUUACACAUGCAAGUCGAACGGUAACAGGCCGCAAGGUGCUGACGAGUGGCGAACGGGUGAGUAAUGCAUCGGAACGUGCCCAGUCGUGGGGGAUAACUGCUCGAAAGAGCAGCUAAUACCGCAUACGAUCUAUGGAUGAAAGCGGGGGACCGUAAGGCCUCGCGCGAUUGGAGCGGCCGAUGUCAGAUUAGGUAGUUGGUGGGGUAAAGGCUCACCAAGCCAACGAUCUGUAGCUGGUCUGAGAGGACGACCAGCCACACUGGGACUGAGACACGGCCCAGACUCCUACGGGAGGCAGCAGUGGGGAAUUUUGGACAAUGGGGGCAACCCUGAUCCAGCAAUGCCGCGUGCAGGAAGAAGGCCUUCGGGUUGUAAACUGCUUUUGUACGGAACGAAACGGUCUGGGUUAAUACCCUGGGCUAAUGACGGUACCGUAAGAAUAAGCACCGGCUAACUACGUGCCAGCCGCCGCCGUAA